AAAAAUAUAAGGAGAAUAAGUUCAUGUGUUCCCGAUGGUUACGCGUCUUCAUCAAUAACAUGUGGCGUCUUCUUGACCUGCUAGAUUUUACCUGACGACAGGUGUGAACAGAUCUUUUGGAUCAAUAAAGGUAUACUACGAUAGUAUAUACAUGUACAUGUGUGAUAUACAUACUGAUUCGUGUGUGUAUGUCAGGUAGAAUGAUGUCAGCUUGUAGCGCUCUUUAGUGUUUAGUAGUAGGCAGGUGUAAUUCACCUCUGACACAAAAAUAUUUACCGGGGAAUCCAGUGACGUCAGACAACUACCUGGUGAGGAAGGCCUUAUGAUUGUGCAUGGGGAAAGUUUAAUGAUUUUAAAAUCAUAGAUCAAUGGUAUCAGCCGAUAAUGGCUGAUCUGGUCGAACAAUAUUCAAGUCUGGAAACACUGUCAACUGACACGCUAAACAUAUGUAGAUGUACUCACUGCUGUGAAAGUUACUCCAGUAACGAUUCCUUUGGAUACCUCGAUGUUACCCCAGCUAAAUUACCUAUACCUUGUCCACAGAACCAACUCCCCGAUUCCUUUUCUCCUGAGAAAAACUUUGUUGAAAGAACGAGAGUGAGUGAAGAACGCGAGUUAGAUGGGAGACAAACAAACAAACGAUGGCAAACUUCUUUUCCGUUUCAACAAGAUGUCUUUCAGUUGGAGGGCAAUUUGAUUGAAAAAUCAAUUAGAAAUGACAGCCAGGUGAAACAAAAUGGUUCAUGUCGACAAAAUCAGUUACAUGAAAAGUUUCAGACGGAUAUCAGUUGUGUGCCAACCACAAGUUGGGAAAAUAAUAUAACAACGGCACGUGAGAGCCUUAGUCCAAUGGCAAAUGGUAUUGAAAUCCGAAUGACUGUUGAUGAUCGGGUGACUGGAAGGGGCAAUCAACCAUCAAAUUUCACCUCUGCUCUCUUACCAGAACACGUCCGUCAACAACAGCAUGCAGCGAGUUACAAAUUUGUUCGAUGUUAUCCUUUAGACGUAUCUUCUCAGAAUUCGCUUAAAGUACUUUCUUCUCGAUGCUGGUAUAGUCAACCAUCAUCUGGCGAAUUACCUGAUUCAAGUUCGGGGGGAAUGAUUCAGCCUCUGGUUUCUGGAUGCAAUAUCAAUCAUAAACGAGGACAGAGCUGGAUGCAUGUGCAACGAAAAAUCGGAAUAUUUUUCCCCGUCAUUAUUUUCAUUUGGUUAGUCUAUAUGCUCAUUGAGAGUGUCUUUGAAUAACCAUGUGUAUGUCAUCGUUUUCAUGUCUCUCAGAGACUAUCAACCGCUAUUAUGUAUUCUUAAGUGUAACCUUUAACGACCGAAAAUGAGAUUCACACAACUUGACAAUGCAAAGUCGGGUACUGUAGACAAGAUACCGUGGAUUAUGUAGACUACAGCGAAUAUUUUUAAUGGGACUAAAAUUCUAGCUUACAAUCAAUUCAUAUGUAAGAAUGAUAUCGUCAAGGACACAAUACAUGUGAAUCAAUCUUUAACAGGGUUAAAUCAACACGGUAUCCCGUGAAGCGAUAAACGAUAGGCACAUGAACGAACACCGGGCAUCCUAUGCCUUUUUUGGAUGUUAUCAUGAUCUUGGAAAUAUUCUAUUUCCGUAUGCAAUAUGAAGUCAGACGUUUUUGAUGCCUGUUGAUAUACCCAAUGGUUCCAUUGUCACCACCCUAAUUCACAUGGAACACAUCCGAUUUUAUGUCUCACAAGAAUAUAUUUCCCCUAACGAUAUUAUGACCUGCAUCAAUCCUUAGUACCCGAAACCAUAAGUUCUUUUUGUAAGUGUUUCGUCGGUAGUCGAGAUCUUUCGGAGUAAAUGUGAUAUUCUUGAAAUAUCACGCGUUGAAACCCGGUGUUUUAAUUUUCCAUCUCGGCCAACAUAUUGACAUUCUAAGAAAGAAUACUUAUAAUGUGUAUUUUUGAACCAUAACUCUUUACUUAAAUUGAAACAACUGCAGUUUGUGAAAAUGAAAGAUCGUUUGAUAUCUCAAUCGUAGUAUAUACAUACUUUACUAAUCCUAAUGUUUCAUAUACAAAUGAUAGGAAAAGAUAUUUCAACUGUUGAUUCUGAGACGAAUGCAUUGUAUAUUACAUUGUUUCAAAAAGUAUUUUAAUUGAUCUGUCCAAUGGUAUCAAUCAUGCAGAUUUUGUAAGUUUAGUUGACCUGAACCAAAAUCGUUGUUUACAUUAGCUUGAUAAACACCACCACUCUUUUACCAUAAUAAUUAAUUUGAAUUACAAACUCGAAAUGUUGUAUCAUCAAAAUUAUAAAUGUUUCCUCUUGGGACAUUUCAAUUACAGGUACAAAUUAGAUUCAGUCAACCAGACACUUCAUUCAAUGCUUACAUCGGCGUCAGUUUACAAGCGUUUGGCUGAGACAGUGACAUGUAAUGCACAGCAUUUAUGACUUUUUAUGACUCGCUUUUGUUAAAAAUAAUCUAAUUCUCGGAAUUUAUAUUGAUUCGUCACUGGGGAUUCCAAUCUUUCUAAGUACCCGACGAGUCAUGAUAUGUCUAUCAUUAGACGAUACCGUAUCCUCGUUAGUAACAGACAACCGUCGGGUAUUUUUUCAGCAUUCAUAUACGUAAAUGCUGAAAUAAUCAUGCAUCCAUCCGUCUCACCAUCUUUAUUGUAUUAUUAUAUAUUUUGUCCUGGUAUUGCGCUGUUGUUUGCUUCCGGGUUUCUAUUGUAUUUGCAGCAUUAUAAUCGGUCAUAGCUCCUUUUUUAGGCAGCAGAAAAGGGUGACUUAUUUGGAAGUCAGUCGCCGUACUUCGGACGUUGCAAGAGAAAUCUGUGAAAUGGAACUUAUGUUGAAGACAGUGGAUAUUUUCGAUAUCCAUGUCCACAUGACGGAUGUCGCUACUUCUCAGGAAAUCAGUAUUAUAAUUGAUGAAGUUUCCAUGACUGAUGAUUCGAAACAAUUAGUUUAUUGAAGUUCCCUUGAUUGGUGAUAGAAAACAGACAUAACAUUGAACUUACUGAGAUCAGAGGAUGUCUGUACCGAGGAUCCUCUAUAUCGCAUUGAACUGUUGUCAAACUUAUUGACUCGACAUCAGAGGAUGUCUGUACCCAGGAUCCUCUAUAUCGCAUUGAACUGUUGUCAAACUUAUUGACUCGACAUCAGAGGAUGUCUGUUCCCAGGAUUAUCUUAGUGCCUUUAUAAUGUAUUGUAUGGUAAGCGAAUUACGGUGUACGUUUGCAUUAAUUAUUGUUUAUUAAAAAGUGGCCAAGAUCUUCCAAUUA